CGUCGGUUGCCUUUGCGGUUUGCUCGGCGAGGCUUUUCACUUCCGACGCCACGACCGCGAAACCGCGCCCGGCUUCGCCGGCACGCGCGGGAGCGCGAGCAGGUUGGUCUGCGAUGCGAUCUCCUGAAUCAGGUCGACGACACUGCUGAUGCGGUUGGCGUUGUCGGCGAGACCCUGCAUGGUCGUGUCGGUCUUGCCGGCUUCGGUGACGGCGUUGGCGGGGGUNCGUUGGCGGCGAUCUUGGUCGAAUUCGUGACCUGGCGGCUGAUCUCCUGGAUCGACGAUGACAGUUCCUCGGUGCCGGCGGAAACCGUCUGCACGUUGACCGAGGUUUCUUCAGCCGCCGACGCAACGGUGUUCACCAGCGCGCUGGAAUGCUGAUGUCGACAUGCUCUCCGCCGUCGCCUGCAUGACAUUGGCGGAGGUCAUCAGGCUGUCGAGCGCGGCGCGGACCUUGUCUUCGAAACUCACGAUCUGCUUUUCGAU
rnacentral:misc_RNA from 1 species